rfam:Pan troglodytes isolate Yerkes chimp pedigree #C0471 (Clint) chromosome 2A, whole genome shotgun sequence.
GCCAGGUGUGGUGGCGCAUGCCUGUAGUCCCAGCUACUCGGGAGUCUGAGGCAGUAGGAUUGCUUGAGCCCAGGAGUUUGAGGCUGCAGUGAGCCAUGAUUGUGCCACUGCACUCCAGCCUGGGCAACAGAGCAAGACCCUGUCUCUC